rnacentral:lncRNA from 1 species
CCUGCAAUAACAGUUCAUUUUUGAUAUAUCACACUAUUUUUUCUGGACGGUUAGUGGUUUCAAAAGUCGCCUUGUAAAAGAAAAAAAUGCUAUAAAAUCUUGCAUAUCAAUUCUUGAAAAGCAAAAAUCUGAACACCAAAAUCUCACCUUUGCACAUAAAUGGCGUACGCUCUUCCAAUUGAUUUUGUGGUAAGGUUCAUUAUAGAUUUCUGCCCUUAUUUGCAAAAUGAGAGGCGUGAUUGGACCAACAAACUUCUUCGCAUAUAAGUAUGACAUAGGCAUGUAAGUGAGUCGAGUGUAACAGAACAUUUUUGCUGCAGUUUUGCAAUAAUGUAUGGUGAUUAUGUAAGAAGAUGAGAAGACCAAUUUCUUCCCUUGUUCAAAUUAAACACUUAAAAUCAUGUAAACCCAAAAGAAUGAGAAUCAUAUGUAUAUAUAUAUAUGGAAACCUGGAUGAAGGGGAAAAAUAUUAGGAAAGGCCCAAAACUCUGGGGGCAUAGGGUUGGUUCCAUCCCACUCAUACACACCAAGUAUCUACAGUACAGGAAAUUUCCACCAUUUGGAACUAAAAUCAAAUAUGGUGAAACCAUUUACAUAGAAUUAAUAUGGAAGACAAAUAAAUUCAUUCUACCAACUAUAAAUAUGAUCAUACCGAAAGCCAUGUCUUCCCCCAAGAGGAUGUGGCAAUUGCACCACCAUGAUCAAGAAUCCAUUUUCUCCCUCUUUCACAAGCAUUAUCUUUGCCACCAUCGCGUUCCUCGCCAAGUAUACGCAUACAAAUAUAGUUGAGAACUGUACCAAACAUUGUGCUUCCACCGUCAAUGUGUAUUCCCCAUCCACCAUCUUCAUUCUGAAACGUAGAAUUUGUGAUUUUAAAAUUCAGUACAAGAAAAGGUAAUCUCCAAAUUAUGGAAAAUUUAUACCUGAUGACAGUAUAUAUAACGCAAGGUUUCUUUGCGAUGCUCUGCAGAAAACACAUUGUUAAGAUGUCCUGUAAUGUGCAGAGAAAAGACCUGCGAGAAACAUUGCAGUUAGAUAAUAGAGUUACGAGGAAAAUUAGUGAUCAUAAUGGAGAUUGAGAGAAUAAUCACCAAAGCAGGCAUAUAGAACAUGAGCCCUCCAUUUUCAGCGACCCAGUGGCCAUCACUGGCCUGCAAGGCUGAGAGCAGGUGGACGCUCCUCCUUAAAGCAGCUGUAGCGGUUUCGACUGUGAUUUCUUCGCCAUCUUCAACCUUAACUUGAGGAAUUGUUUGUUUAAACUCUUUGUCCCUUAGAAACUGUAUUCGAUCACAAGAGAUGGUCAAAUAAUUCCAAUUAAGACUCCAUACUUUUAAUAACGUCAAAUACGCUGAAUUUUUUUAUUUUUUUUUUCUAAUUUAAACCUCUAAUACUUGUCAAAUAAGUUUUAAUCUGAUAUAAUGUUUUUUAAAAUAAAAUUUUAUUUUAUAAUUUUAAAAAUUAUUUACUACAUUUUUAUAUUUUUUAAAAUUUUAUAUUUAAAUUAAAAAUAAUAUUUUAUUAUUAAAAAUAUUAUAAUAAAUCGAGACUUAUUUAGCUAUUAAGUAAAAUUAUAAUUUAUUUAUUAAUAGAAAAUUUUAAAUAAGACUUAGUUAGCUCAUAAUGAAAAUAAAGAAAUUUAAUUAGACUUACUUUAAAAUCUCUUUUACACUGUUUUUUAGUGCAUUAUUUUUUUAAUGUGUCUAUUUUUAUUUUUAAAAGAAUAUAUAAAAAAAUCAUAUAAAUUUUUAUUUUUAAAAAAUAUAUAAAAGAUUUAUAUAAUUCGAGUUUAUAUAAAUUUAUAGUGGAAAUAAAUAAUAGGUCUAUAUAAAUAUAAAACUAUUUAAAUAUACAUAGAUUUAUAAUAUAAAAUAUUUUUUAAUAAAAUAAAAAUUUUCUAUUAUUCAAUUUUAAUUUAAAAAUAAAAUAUAUUAAUAUAUAUCAAUAUAUUUUAUAAUAAUAUUAUAUUAAAUAUUUUAUUAUAUAAAUUCUUAAAAUUUUAAACUCUAAAUUUUUUAAUUUUUAUUUUUAUUAAAAUAUUUAUAUCAAUUUUUUAUUAAAUAUUUUAUUUAUUAUGUAAACUCAAAUUCAUAACUUUUAAAUUUAUUAAUUUUUAAUUUAUAUCAAAUUCACUUAUCUUAAUAAAAUUAAAAAAAUAUUUAAUAUAAAAUUAUAAUAAAAUAUUUUGCUAUAAAUUAGAGAUUUAGAAAAGUUAAAAGAUUAAAAAAUUAUAUGAAAAAAAUAUUUACUAUAAAACUUUUAUAAAAUAUUUUAAUAUGUUAAAAUUUAAAAAAAAAUUAAAAAUUUAGAGUUUAUUUAUUUUUUAUGGCUAACACUAAAUUUUAGAAAAUGUAUAUUUUAUUAAUAACAUGAAAUUUUAAGGAUUGAAUUGGUUACUGUCUAAAAAAAUAGGGAUUAAAUUGAAAAUAGUAUUAAAUUUUCAAAGAUCGUAAUAUAAUUAUUUUUAAUAUUUAAAAAAAUUUAAAAAAUUAUUACCGCGUUAAGCUUUUAAAUUUCUUUUUAUUAUUUUUUAAAUGUUUACCGACCUAAAUCAUUUUGAUUUAGAAAUAUUUUUUCUCUAAACUUAUAUAUAUAUAUGUAUUUAGUUUUCACGUAACAAGAGAUUAUAUAGUAAAUUUAUAUAUAUAUAUAUAUAUAAAAGAAAUCUCUUCAGACAGUGUGAAGAUGUUUUGAGCUAUAUAUAAUACCUGGAACUGCCAGAAGAGGUCAGAACCAGGCUGCACCACAAAUCGAUUUUCCCAGAAAUUUUGGCGAGCAUCUUCAACCUGAGAGAGCUCUUCAGGAGAGCCAGCUUCAGGAUCAAACUCCCAUGUUUGUCUUCCGAGAAAAUUAUUUGUGCUAUAUAUGUAAGGGCUUUUGCUGCCCUUUGCAAUCUUAAGCCUCCACAUGCUUUCUCUCUCUCUAAAGGUAUGUCCUUAAAUCUCUCGUGUGUUGCAGAAUAAUUCGAGUAUAUAUCCUUGAAAGAAUUUUAAGCUUCAUAUGACUAUUGACACGUGUUGUUAAGUCAUUGUUUAUUGUAUGCAUUUUAUUAUCAAUAAUAUUUUAUUUUUUGUAUUAUGAAAAUUAUAUUGUUCAUAUUCUUAAAUUCUUUCUUUAAAUUUGACAUGUAAAAUUAUUAUGUAAUUUCUAAUUAACAGAAUAAAAAUAUUUGCUAAUUAAUUAUUAUAUUUUUAAAAUUUAUUCAUUUAUUUUUAAUAUAGUUAUUUAUUCCCCCACCGCUCAUCCUAUUUAUACUUAUCUCUUCUAAUCUAUUGUCUUGUCUUGUCUCUGCCUCCCAGUUACGUCUCUUUCCUUCUCUUCUGUUUUCUCUGUGUAUUGUCUAUUGUGUCCUUUAUUCGUUACUUCUCUCUCCUCCUUUGUUAUUUCUAUUUCUCUCCUAUCUAUCACUCUCCUCUCUUAGCCCCUUAUUAAGUUGGAAGAACUAUAUUUUUCGGAAAUAUAUUUUUUAAAAAUAAUAUAUUUUUAACAGAUUUAUUUUUUAAAAAUAUAUGAUAUAAAUAUUUAAUAUAUGAAUUUACUUUUUAGAUAGUAAAUUUAUUUUUAAAGUUUCAACAAAAAAUAACCUGAAGUUAACAAAUUAUAUGACAAAUUGAUAAAUUUAAUUACAUUUUAGAUAAAAAUAACUUAUCAAAUUUUAUCUAACCGAAUUACUUCAUAAAAUACUUUAUUUUUAACAAUUUAAAUUCAGUUCGUUUGCAAAAAAAUAUUUUUUAAUAAAAUAAUUUAUUUUUAUUGCUAUUUUAAUAAAAUAUGUUAAAAAUUAUAUAUAAAAAAGUAAUAAUAUUUUAAAAUAAUGAAAAUAACUUUUUUUAAAAGAGGAAGUAAAUAAGAAAUAAUCUAUUAUGUGGGUCAAAAUAAAUAAAUCACUCAUCAAAUUGUUAUAGAUAGAUAUUCAAAAUAAAAAAUAUUAAAAGGAAAAGACAGUGCUAAAAUGUUGUGAGCUAUAUAUGUAUAUAUACACAAUACCUGGAGCUGCCAGAGGAGGUCAGAACCAGGCCUCACCAGAAAUCGAUUUUCCCAGAAAUUUAGACGAGCAUCUUCAACCUGAGCUAGCUCUUCAGAAGUGCCAGCUUUAGGAUCAAAUUCCCAUAUUUGUCUUCCGAGAAAAUUGUUUGUGCUGUAUAUAUAAGGGCUUUUGCCACCGUCUGCAAUCUUAAGCCUCCACAUUCUCUCUCUCUCUCUCUCUCUCUCUCUCUCUCUCUCUCUCUCUCUAUGUGGGUGUCAACACCUUGCAACACACGUUUAUUUAUAGAUGGAAAGUACGAUGUCGGUGGAAACUCCAUUAAAGAGAAGCAUGCGGUAGGUGUUGAGUUUACUGCAGUGUAAUAGUUUUUGAAGCUAAAAUGUAAUUAUACUAUUGUGUUCUCUUCUUCUAUAAAGAGAAUUUAUAGUUAUUUUUCUUUCACUUGUGGUCCUGAGUCACGUGACAUGUUAGUGUAUAUAUAAGCAUUUUUUCCCUUCGGACAUUCAUUGUAAUGUUACUUUUAUUCUUAAUAAACAAGAAAAAAAUUUUCUUCUCUUUGUUCAUGGCAUCAGAGUCUAGGGUUUGAGUUUUCGGUGCCGCUUCUCCUCUUGCAUGCAAUAAGAUCCGAGUGAAAAUGCCUGAGUAAAUGAUGGCAGAUCGAGGUAACACCAGUGAAGACUAGAUAUCAAUGGCGGUGACCGGAAAAGGACAUAUCCUUGUUCAAGGAAUGGAAGAUUCAUUAAGCCUACAGUCGUUCGAUCAUUCAAGUCUUGGUCUCUACUCCUUUUGUAGGAACUAACUUCCUAUAUUGGAGUAGGGCCAUUAGGAUAGCUCUCGGAGCCAAGAUGAAGUUAGAUUUUGUCAAAAGAAUAAUUUCGAUACCUAAUAAAGAUUAUGAGAAUUACAAGUAGAGGAAGAGGUGUGAUUUCAUGGUCACAUCUUAGAUUCUGAACUCGAUCUCCAAAGAAUUAGUAGAUGACUUUAUCUACACUACCUCUGCAAGAGAUCUCUGGUUGGAGAUUUCUGAAAGGUUUGGUGAAUGCAACGAUCCUAUGAUCUAUGAGUUGCACUGAAAGAUCUCUCUUAUCUUUUAAGAGAAUAUCUCUGUUUCUGUCUACUUUACCAAGUUAAAGAGGUUUUGAGAUGACCUAAGGUCUAUGGAGAGUCUCCCUCCAUAUACAUGUGGCGCUUCUAUGGCCAUCACUGAAAUAACAAACAAAAACAAGCUGAUGCAGUUUUUUAUAGGUCUAAACGAUGUGUUUGGAUUCGUGAGAGAUUAAAUCCUUGGGAUGGAUCCUCUGUCAACUGUGAAUAAAGCAUAUUCAAUGGUGGUAAAAUUUGAAUCCCAAAGAGAAAUUCUUGGGACCAUGAAUGAAAGUACUGAGUUGCUUGUGUUGCUUAACAAAGCUCAAACACAAACAUAAGUGAGACAAAGAAAGUCAGGCACAAAAAAGGAUCAUUGUACUUUUUGUAACAUGGAUGGUCACCUACGAGAGGGUUAUUUCAAGUUAAUUGGUUAUCCUGAAUGGUAUAAACUAAAGAACAAGGCUAGAAAACAGUCAGUUAGAGGUUAUAAGAACACCAAAAUGUUGGCUACAGUAGAAGGGGGUAGCACUGAAGAGGACAAUCCUCUGGAUCACCCUGACAUAGCAACUAGAAUCAAUAAACUAACAACCAUGUUAAGUUCAUUGAAGCAAGAGGUUACACAACUGGUGAAAGGGAAGAAUGCUUUGACUGCAAGUACUUCAAUUCACUCUGGAUUUUCUCCAGGGAGUGGAUCAUAUUCUCACCCCAUGGAUUUUGCUGGUAAGUUUGAUUUUGUUAAAACUUGUUUUGCAAAACUAUAUAAUGACACUAGCUGGAUUUUGGACACCGAAGCCACUAAUCACUUGUGUUUAAACAAAACUUUGUUUCUUUUUUUUUUAUAACUUUUGCACAAGCAUGUCUCUAUUUUCUUUCUUGAUGGGACUACAAAACAAAUAUCAUAUUUUGGCAACUUUAAUCUGUUUAAUAAUCAUGCUUGAUAAUGUGUUGUAUGUUCCACAGUUCAUUACAACCUCAUAUCUAUUAGCCAACUAGUGAAUAGUUGUGCUUAUUGUGUUGUGAUUUGCCAUCAAUAUUGCAUUAUAUAGGACUCUCUAAAUAAAAGAGUGGUGGUUACAGGAAAGAAACAAAGAGGCUUGUACAGACUCAGUCAGAUGAGUUUUUCUCAUACUAAGAUUAGUUACUGUUUGCAUCAGAUCAUGAAUACUACUCCUGCUUUAAUACUGUUGUAAAUAUCAUGCUUCCUCUCGCUGAUUCUAAUAAAGGAAGUGUCAUAUCCUGUGAAUAAAUAUCUAAAUAUGUUGUGUCUAUGAUUGACUUGCAUGAUAGACUAAGUCAUACUUAUAUUGGGAAACUCAAACAUAUUAAGGUAUUACUAUUAGUGAUACUACAAUAAUUUGUUAUCAUGUCUGUCCUUUAGCUAAACAGUCCAGAUUGCCCUUUCCUAAAAGUCACACUAUUGCUUCACAGGCUUUUGACCUAAUCCAUAUAAACAUAUGGGGACCCUAUAAAACCCCUUCUAUCACUAGUGUUAGGUACUUUCUCACAAUUGUAGAUGACUAUACCAUAGUUGUAUGGACAUUUAUGAUGCACCUUAAAGGUUAAUCUUUCAAUUUGAUUAAGCAUUUCAUUAAUAUGGUAGAAAUCCAAUUCAAUACUACCAUUAAGCACAUUAGGACAGAUAAUGGUAGUGAGUUCGUAAGCCAUAUUUGUACGUCUUUACUUAUGAGUAAAGGGAUUAUCCACCAAAGAUCUUGUCCAUGUACUCCACAACUGUAAUACCCGGCUAGACUCCGGAACCGGAAUUCCAACUGUCCGGUGGAAUCUCGGAUGUCGGAGAUCUCUAGAAGGGUAAAACCAUGUUUUCAUAAAAUGUUUUAACGUAUUUUAUGAUUUUAAGUAAAAAGAAAAUAAGUUUUUUUGCAUGAAAAUAAUCUUAGAGGAAGACCCAGGUUCGGCCGCCGAACAUGCAUGCGUUUCAGGAGUGCUUUAGGCCCCCGAAGGCACAAGUGAGGGAAGUCCAGGUUCGGCCGCCGAACCUUACCAUCGGCCGCCGAACAUGGCAUGCAUUCGGAGGCACGUUAGGCCCCCGAAAGUGGCCUGGCCAGCCACCUAUAAAGGGGUCCCCAUGUCCGAAUGGGCGAGCUUUUCUCCCCAUUUUUGGCCAAGGUGAGCCCUCCGCCAACCCUUACCGAUCUUGAGUUCUUCCUUCAAAUCUUUCAUGAUUUUUAUGAGUUUCCACCCUUGUUUUGAAGAUUUUUGAGCAAAUAGCAAGUUUUGGAGCUUGGAAGUUCAAGGAACUCGAUCUCUCCCAUCUCCGAGCUUGGAUCGAUUAUCCUCUCGAUCUUCAAGAGGUAAGAGCCGAUCUUGAGCUCAUUAUAUGUUUUAAGCAAGUUUUAAGUUGAUUCAUGGGGUAGAAAUGCAUGCUUAGGUUAGUUGAGUCUUGUUAGGUUUUGUGUUGUGUUUAUGGAUAAUGUAGGUUGCUGAGUUGCUUUUGAUGUGUUUUAGUUGGGGUUUAGGAUAGUUUGAGACCCCUAUGUGUUGAUGAAUGUGUGUAUGCAUGUUUUGGUUAAGUUGGAUGCAUGUUUGAAAGUUUGGGAGGCAUUUGUGCAUGAGGAGCUGAGUUUCUGCCCCUUUGGGAGAAACCAGGUUCGGCAGCCGAAGGGACUUUCGGCCGCCGAACCUGCCUGACUUUCGUCUCUGGAGGGCAUUUUCGGCCGCCAAAGGUGCCGCCGAACCUGCCUGACUUUCGGCUCUGGAGGGACUUUCGGCCGCCGAAAGUGCCCUGUCCAGCCUUCCUUUGCAUGAUUUGUAUGAUUAUUUUGAGGUGUUUUAGGGGGUUUUUGGGGAGUAUUUUUAGAGUCGUGAUCAUGUAUGUUUGGUCCCUUAUUUGAGUCCACCUGUGUAGGUUCAGACCCGAGGAACCGAGGACCCCAGCAGUGAGACAACUGCUUCAGUGUCUUGUCAGAGCUUGCCAGAGGUGAGUAGAAUAACUCUCUAUGUUUCAAAGCAACUAAAUGAAAGUUUUAGCAUGAUUCACGCAUCACGAAUGCCAUUAGAUAUAUUAGGGUGCUUGCAUUAGAAUUCACGAAUAUGUUGCAUUGCAUAUUAUGUUGUUGAUGUGGAUGAAUGUUGAAUGAUCCAUUAGCCCUCAUAUAUUAGGCAUGGAAGUCCAGGUGUACCUGCUCUACGCCCCUGGUACUAUUCUAUGGAAGUCCGGGCGUGCCUACUCUACGCCCCCGGCAUAAUUGGUAUGUAUGAUAUGACAUGGAAGUCCAGACGUGCCUGCUCUACGCCCCUGGCAUAAUUAGAUUGUAGAGAGGGCUAAAUGGUGACAAGUUAAUCCUUGAUGUGAAUUGUUUGUGCGGCGAUGCAUUCCAUGAUUAUCAUAUAUUUUAAAUACAAUGUUUUAUUAUUCUGCUCACUGGGCUCUUUAGCUCACCCUUUUCCCCUAACCCCCAGGUUUGCAGGUACGGGAUAGGACAAGAGGUCAGGAAGAGUAAUGUAUGGUUGUAUUGUAAUAGUUAGUUGUGGACAUGAUUAAUGUUGUAAAGUGAAAGUAUUAUGAAGUCAUGUAUGUAAUAAUGAUAUUGAGGAUUAGAGAUUGUUCUCGACCCUAUGUUUUUGGUAUCCCCUUUUUGUAUACAUGAUCCUUAUGUUAUGAGUUGAUGUCUAUGUUGUACCAAGCUUAAUGUAUGUUAUGUACCCCAUUGGAGCAUUUGAUGAGGGCUCCAGUGUGUGGUUUAUGUUUAUGUUUAUGUGCAUGCACAGGUUAAGCUUGGUUAAAGAAAGAAAAAAAUUUCACAGGUUUAUGAGUAUGUAUGAUCAUGUAUGGGAUUUGAUAGGUAUAGAGGAUGUUUGUCUGGCUUGCUACGAGUCCUGGCGGCCUUAUGCCGACCUGGAUCCUAGAGCCGAUAGCGGUCCGGAUUUUCGGGUCGUUACAACAACAAUGGAGUAGUGGAAAAAAAGCAUAAGCAUAUUUUAGACACUGCUAGGGCUUUAAAAAUGCAAUCACAUGCGCCUAAACAUCCCUAGUCAGAAUAUAUUCUCAUAGCUACCUACAUUAUAAACAGAAUGUCAAUGGAACAAUUUAACUGGACAACUCCUUAUAAAAGACUCUAUGGGAGUCUACCUCAAUACUCACACCUCAGAAAAUUUGGUUAUCUUUAUUUUGCCACUUCAGUGGGCAUUAAUAAAAAUAAAUUUCAGGCAGGACCAUUAAAGCUGUCUUGGUUGGUUGUGCAGGCAUACAUAAGGCCCAUAAACUUUAUAAUCUAAUUGAUAAAUCCCUCUUGUUUAGUAGUGAUGUUGUUUUUCAUGAACAUAUAUUUCCCUUUUAGAAUAAUACUAAUAUAGAACAUCAUGUCCUUCCCAUUCCUGUUAUUGACAUAGAUUCCACUGAUUCACAAUCACACACCUCUAAUCCCACUGUACACAGUCUCACUGAACCUUCUUUUCCUAAAAGAUCUCAGAGAUAUAGACAACCUCCAAUUUGGAUGCAAGACUAUGCUAAUCUUGUGCCCACAUUCUCUCUUUCCUUAUGUCCAUCCUACUAUUCUUAUAUUUGCAAUGUGAACAAAAUUCCUGAGUUUUGCACAUUUGCACAAGCCUCCAAGGAUGUUCAAUGGGUUAAGACCAUGGAAUAAGAGCUCCAAGCCUUAGAAAAAAAUAAUACAUGGACCCUUACUGCUUUACCCAAAAACAAAAAGGUCAUAGGCUACAAAUGGGUAUAUAAAGUGAAAUUUAAACCCAUUAGUGAGGUUGAUAGAUACAAGACUCGUUUAGUUGCAAAAGAUUACAACCAAAUAGAGGGUUUGAAUUAUAAAGAUAGAUUCUCUCCUAUAGCUAAGCUUACCACAAUGAGAAUCUUUAUUGUUUUAGCUACUUCUAGACAAUGGCCCAUCUUUCAAUUAGAUGUUAAUAAUGCUUUCUUACAUGGGCAUUUAAAUAAAGAGCUAUAUGUGGUACCUCCUCAAGGUUAUCACAAGGCUUAACUUGGACAAGUUUGUUUACUUCAAAGAUCCCUGUAUGGACUCACAUAUACCUCUAGACAGUGGAAUAUUGGAUCACUACCUUUCUUAAAACUUUAGGCUUUUCAUAGUCCUCUCUUGAUCAUUGCAUUUUUUAUUCAACACACUACUACUCUAUUUCUAGCUUUAUUGUUAUAUGUUGAUGAUGUAAUCCUGACCGGAAACUCUAUUGAUGUUAUUAAUGAAUGCAAACAUGCAUUACACUCUAAAUUCACUAUCAAAGACUUAGGACCACUGAAAUAUUUCUUGGACCUUGAGGUUGCCAGAUCCUCACAGGCCACUAUUCUAACUCACAUAAAGUUCAUUUCAGAUGUUCUUAAAGAUGUAGGCAUGUUAUAAUGUAAACCAGCAUCUUUUCCUUUACAUUUGACUCCUAAUUCAGGAGAGCUUCUAAGUAAACCUGAUAUGUACAUGAGACUGCUUGGCAGGCUUCUUUACAUAAAUAUAACCAGGGCUGAUAUAUGUUAUGCAUCAUCUCAACCAAUUUAUGAGCAUGUCUAGAAAACCUCACUGAGAGGCUACUUUACAUGUGCUUAGAUAUCUUAAAGGCUCUUUAUAUCAGGGAUUGUAUUUUCCUAUCACUACUAAUUUGCCUCUCAUUGCUUAUCAUGAUUUAGAUUUGGCAUCUUGCUCAUAUUCUCGUAAGUCAUUAUCUGGUUAUUGCAUAAUUCUGGAACCUUGUCUUAUAUCUUGGAAAACAAAGAAAUAGACCACAGUUUCUAAAUCAUCUGCUGAGGCAGAGUAUCGGACCAUGGCUAACACUGUUUAUGAACUUCUUUGGAUUAGCUAUAUUCUUAAAUAUCUGCAGGUUUCAGUUGCUCUUCCUAUUCCUCUUCACUGUAACAACAAGGAAACAUUUCACAAUGCUGCCAACUUAGUGUUCCAUGAGCAUACCAAGCUCAUCGUGAUUGAUUGUCAUAUCAUGCGAGAACAAUUCCAAUAAGAAUUCAUUUUUCUAGUCAUCGUUCCAUACAGGAGCAAUUGGCAGACCCCUUUACCAAGGGUUUACCUGCUUCUCGUCACAGUUCUUUGUCCAACAAGUUAAAUCUGCUUUCUUUACCUGCUUCAACUUGAGGAGGGGGCGUUGAGUUUAUUGCUAUGUAAUAGUUUUUGAAGCUAAAAUGUUAAAUUGUGCUCUCUUCUUCUAUUUAGAGUCUUUAUAGUUAUUUUUCUCUUACAUGUGGUCCUAGAGGCACGUGAUAUGUUGGUGCAUAUAUAAACACUUUUAUUUCAGACAUGACAUUUAUUGUAAUGUUACUUUUGUUUUUAAUAAAUAAAAUUUUUUUUUCUACUCUCUGUUCAGUAGGAUAGAAAUUAAAUGAAGAUGAAAAUGAAUACAUGUGCUUUUAGUUAAAUUACAUAUUUUUUUGAUUUAUCAAAUUAAAAUUAAAUUUUAUUCGUAUCGAAUCAAUAAUAAAUAAAAAUUACUAAAAUAAUAAUAAAAACUUAAGGAUACGUCCUUGAUUAAAUCAAGUCUAUAUUCGAUAAUAAUUUUAUUAUGAAAAAUCAUUUAUUAUAAUAUUUAACUAAUCAAUAUUAAAAUAAUUAUUUAUUAUUAAAACAGCUAACCACUACUAAUUGUCAUCAUUAGAUAAAUAUUAAAUCACUAUUUUUUUAGUACUAAAUUAGUAGUAUUUUAAUUUGAUUUAACUAUUUUAAAAAAUUAUUUUUUCUAAAAAAUAUUUAAAUUCUAAUUUUUAAAUAAAAAUAUAAAAAAAUUAUAAAUAUUAUUAUAAAAUACAUUUUUUAUUUUAAAUUAAUUAUUUAUAUAAAAAGAAUUAGAUAAUAAAUAUUUUAUGUAACUUACUAAUAUUAAUUUUUAAACUCAAAUCUAAUUAUGUAAUAAUUAAAUUCCUCUUAUUAAAUUUUGAUCAAAUUUUCUAUCGCAUUGCCACCUCUACUCCCACACGUGUCUCUAUGUGUUUCAUCAGUCUCUAUCAUUCUCCAGUCUUCCUCUUUAUUACCUUUUCCACGUCGCAGAAUUCAAACAACCGAAAAGAAAUACCAAAAGAAAUCUCAUCCCUGACUAGGAAAGAAUCUCACAUUCAAUAGGCAGUUGAAAACAUCAUCCACUCAAUAUAUGACAUGUGGCUUCCAUAAUCAAUUUUCAUAGAAAAAUAGUAAUAUUAAUGUCAGACUUCGUCUCUCAAAAUGACACGAAAAGGAAAUUUCUCCACCAACUUUCAACGACCUUCUUAAUGGAGAAAUUUAUGUUGCAUUCCACAACGCAACGUACAAAUAUGUAAAGUUAUAUAUAUAUAUAUAUAUAUAUAUAUAUAGUUUAUUCUCGUUUGAAUAAUUCUCUUAACGAAUUGAAUUUCGCUUGUAAGGUAGAUAUUUAUGAAAAUAUUGAUAUAAUAUAAUAAUUAUUUAAAAUAUAUUAUAAAAUGUUAAUAUCGAAUAGAGUUACAAGCUAAUAUUUUAACACGUCAUCGUAAAAAUAUUAUUAAAAAAAAUUUAAAUAUUUUUAAUUUGAUAUUUAUAACAAUACAGGACUCGUCCUCUCUUAAAUCUGUUCAACAUCUUAUUAUAUAAAUUAUUAUUAAGUAAUAAAAUUUUAAAAAAAUUUAUUCUACCUAUAAGUAUGAAUUUUUUAUUUAUUGAUCAAUAUUAAUUUAAUUUUUAAAAAUUUUAUAAUUAAUUUUAUCUUUUAUUAAUAUAAAUACAAAAUAUAUUAUUUAAAAUAUAUAUUUUUAUAUAUUCAUUUUAAAUUUAAGAUAUUUAUUAUAUUUACUGUGAGUUUUGAUUCGAGUGUAAUCACAUUUCAAUUUUUCUCUUUUAUAAACUCAUCAGUGUUAUAAUUCAUUUUUCGACCGCAUCAAAUACAAUAAAAAAUUAUUUAAUAAUAAAUUAAUAACUAAUAAUUUAUAUAUUAUAAUAAAUAUACAUUAUUAAAAUUUAAUAUAAAGCGAAAUUAGAUAUAAAACUAUAAGUUUAUUUAUUAAAUUAAAAAUAUAAUAAUCUUAUUAAAUGUUUUGUUAAUUUCUCUUUUUUCGAAAUGUUUUAAAAAUUAUUUAAUGAUCUUUUUAAUUGUACUUAUUUUUUUAUUUAUUAUAAUUUAUUUUAUAAAUAAAGAAUUUAAAUAAAUUUUUAUAAAAUUGUAGAAGAUGUCAACUUAUUUUAAAAUGAAAAUUACUUGAUAUUUAUAAUUAUAGUUUUUUGAAAUGUAUUGAUAAGCUAAUAUUUAAUAUUUAUAAUUAUAUUCUCUGAGUAAAUAUUUAAUAUAUGUAAACUCAUUAGGAUAUAUGAUUAUUUUAUAAUAUUAUUAAUAAUUAUUUAAUAGUUAAGAGAGAGUUAUAAAAAGAUUAUAUAAAUAAUUUAAUUUAUAAAAAUAAUUAAAUAAUAUUAAAUAUAAAAAUAAUUAAAGGGAGUAGAUAUACACAUAUCCAAUGAAUUCAAUUUUUAUCAAGUUAAAUUUUAAAUAAUCCAUCCAUUUCAAAAAAAAUUUUAAAUAAUCCAUAAAUGAUAAUUUUGUUUAUAAUUUUUUAUUAUAUAUUAUUUAAUAAUUUAUAAAUUUUAAAUUUAAAUUUUUUAAAUAUAAUUAUAUAAUUUUGAUAAUAUAAUUUAUUAAAUUAUAUUAAAAUUAUAUAAAAUAUAAAACAUAAAACAUAUUAUUCAAAUUAGAAUUAUAAUAUAAAUAAAAUUAUUUAAAAAUAUACGUAUAAAAUCAGUUAUUAUUAUAGUUUCGGUUCUAUGUGAUUUUAGUAUGGUUUUAAUUUUAUUUUGAUUUAAGAUUUGACAAAGAACUAAAUCCAAAUAAUUAAAUAAUUUCGAUUUGAUAUGAUUUAAUUCUUAUAACAUGAUUUUUUUUUUCGAUAAGCUUUUUAAUACAAUUUGAAAUAAAAAUCAUAAUCAAUCCUAAUAAUUAGUAGAUUAUAUAUAAAAAGAUUAUGAUUGUACUUACUAAUUUACUGUUUUUUUUUGCUAAAAAUAUAACAAAAGAUAAUAAUUAUUUUUAUUAUUAUUGUGAAAGUUUUAAACUUUUAGCUAAUUUUUUAAAUAAAAAAAACUACAAAGAAAUUAUAUUUUAAAAUAAUAUAAUUUUAGAAAUUUUCAUAUUAAAUAAACACUUUAAAAAUAUGCUAAAUUUACACACACAUAUAUUUAUAAAAUAAUCAAUUAAUAUGUAAUUGACCAUAAUAUUUCACAUUUUAUCAUGGAUAUCGGUUACUUUUGACUUUUGAACAAAGGUUUAAGGUAAUUAAAUUUAAUUUAUAACAAAAAAAAGUGAUAUUUUUUAUAAAAAUUUUUAAAAUUACAUACAUAUUAAUUACUAAAGUAAAAUUAAAAAUAUAAGAGAACAAACAAAUAUUUGAGUGUAAUAAAUUAAACUAUAAAUUAUAGAUGUAUUUUACAUAAAAAUAUUUAAAAAUAAUUAUCAAGUGAUGUAUGAUACUAUAUAAUAAACACAUAAAAUAAGUUAUAAGUUGUGAUCAUAAUCGUAGUCGCGUGAUAAAAGUUUAAUACGUUGAUACAUUAUGCUAUCCAUAAAAAAGAAGACUCGGAUAUGAUAGCACUCGAUUCUUUGCUGAGAUUUUAAGCAUGCUGAGAUUUUAUAGAAAUUUUUUUACUGAGAUUUGCUUUCUCUUAAAUAGAAUAAGAUUUUACGAAAGACUAUCAUUAGUUGAUAUAAUUUGGCGAAUCUCUAUCACACUUGUAAUCAAGAGAUUCCUUAUUCAUUAAUGGUACCAGUUAGAUUUUUAGGAGAUUUGAUAACCAACUCCACUUUUUUACACUAUAAAAAUUAAUAAAUAUAGAGUAUUUUUUAUACGAAUAUUUUGAAUUCUAAAUAAUUUCAUACAUUCUAAUAAAAAAUAAAGUGAAGCAGAGAAAUGAAUAAAUAACUCUGAUCUCUAUCACACUUGUAAUCAAGAGAUUCCUUAUUCAUUAAUGGUACCAGUCAGAUUUUUAGAAGAUUUGAUAACUAACUCUACGUUCUUACACUAUAAAAAUUAAUAAAUAUAGAGCAUUUUUAUACUAUUAUUUUGAAUUCUAAAUAAUUUUAUACAUUUUAAUAAAAAACAAAGUGAAGCAGAGAAAUGAAUAAAUAACUCUAUUAAUAAAUCUUUUAUUAAAAAUGAAAUUCAAAUAAAUAUAAGCUAUCAUCAAUAUUCAAACUUUAAAAAAAAUUUCAAAAUAUCCUAACAAAUCCUAUAAUCUAUUUAAAUAAUAAAAAUCUAUAAUAAUAAAAAAUAAUAAUUGAACAUAAAAAUAAAUAUUUGAAAUUUUGAAUUAAAAUCCCAACACAUUAGUCCAUUCUUCCAGCAUUAUCUUUUUUAUGCAAAUUGACCGAUAGAGGUCAACUCUAUUUCAGUCAUAUAUAUAUUCAACUUGUAUUUCAACUGCUUAAAAAUAAAAAUUUCUUGACAAUAAUUACAAGAAAUAUUGCAGGAAAAUAUUAUUAAACAGAAAAUGGACAAUAAUACAACAUUUCCCCCACCUAAUAUUCCCACUGUUCAUAAUACAUAGCUUCAGGCUUACAUUAUCUAUUUGAAUCAAAUAUCCAGUUAUUACACCGCAGGCUUCUUGAUUCAUUUCAUAUAUUUUCUCAAGGUAAUGGAACAUGUUUCCUAUAUUCUGCCAAAGCCCAGAUGGGGAAGGUAUUCCUGAAUAAUGCAUAGUGCAGCAUGCAAUUUCUCAUGAAUGAUCCUGUGAGUUCCUGCCAUAAAAAUGUAAGAAAAUCAUCACUGGCUUCAAGCAGUUUUUACCCAGUAGACAUAGCAAAUUCAAACACUAGCUUAUACGAGAUACCUGCUGCGGAAAAUCACCAAGUUCUGUUUGAGAAUUGAUUAACAACUUCGCAGCGCGAUGAAGAGGCGUAGGGUCUCUCUUGGCCUUGUUUUCAAGAAAAUUUUGAAUGAAAACAAUAAUCAUGUAACCAUAGUCUAAGAAUAUGUUUAUUGGAUUUGUAAACUAACCUGGCCUCCAUGAAUCAAACCCAUCAUAGCCCAUGCUGUCUGUACCAAAUUCGAUCGAUUUCCUUCAGAAGGAACAUAAACCUGUAUUCAAAUCAUUGAACCAAAGUACAUGAGGUUGAAGCUGAAAUUCUGAUAAGUUCGCAUCCCUUGUCUUCCAAGAGACCAAAAAGAAAAUAUGUAUAUAGUAUGUAAAGCUAUAGAUUUACCUUCUUUGGACAUGAAAGGUAACUCUCUGCCCAUCCACCAUCGUCUCUUUGUGAUUUGAGCAGAAAAUUAACACCUCUACGAAUAGCAGGACAGUUUUCAUACGUUCUGCCAGAAGCAGCUAACCCUCCAAGGCCAAACCAUGUACCAUAGAUGAAGCAUAUUCCCCAAUUUCCAUACCUUUCAUAGUAGAUAUUUGUUAAUUUUUGCGAGAACAAAUAGGUGUGAACAUUUAGUCGAUUUGGUUCAAAAUUAAAAUUUAAGUUUUUAUGAAUGAAUCCAACUACGAAAAAAAAUAAAUAUAAAUGGUGUGAAUAUUUAGUCAGUUUAGUUCAAAAUUAAAAAUUAAAAUUUAAGUUUUUACGUACGAAUUCAACUAUGGAAAAAAUUGAUAUAUAUCGAAUCAGUCUGAUUCGGUUUAAUCAAUUCAGUCCGGUCAAUUAAGCCUUUUAAUGAGUUUUAUUUUUUUUUUCACACCUUAUUUUCAGUCUUAUAAGGUUCAAUUGAAAUAUUUUAAUUUUGAUUAGGAUUCAAUCUCCAUAAAUUGUUAUUUAACCAAUUUGGUUAUAUCAUAUUUUUUCUACUAAAAUCGAAUCAAAUCGAAAUAUUGAAUUUUUUAAAAUUUAAAACUGAAUCAAAAUAAAUAAUAAACCAAACUAAAUUUUAAAUUAAUUCCGCUUGGUGGGUUAUUUCAAUUUAAACCGAAUGUUACCGGCUCUACAAAAAGUAAAAACCAAAUUAUAUGACCAUACCAUGAACCGUCCGGUUUUUGUAUGUCUUCAAUGAACCUUGCAGCAUUUGCAAUGCAACUUGCAAUCUCUUUCUUUCUGUGCCCUGGGUAUAACUUUUUAAAUACAGAUAAUGCUUGGAUUGAUGAUGCAGUGCACUCCACAUACCUGAAUCAGUAUUUUUACUAGUCUUCUGGACAAAUUAAGGUAUCUAUAGGCUAUAGCUAGAGGAAGAGGAAAGGUUUUUGAGACUAAUAUAGUUUUCUACAAAUGAAAAUGGUAUAAGAAUCUUACUCAUGCUCAAUUACAAGAUCCUCCAUAAACUCCACAGGAUUUAGCCACUGGUUCAAACAAUUGGCACAAGUCAAUCAAUGUAUCAUAAUUUUGUCUAAUAAGUUUAGUUCACUGUGAAUUAGUUACCUCCAACCAUGAUCCUGCUCUUGCUGGCUCCCACGCUGAGAAACCACCAUUUUUACUCUACGAUAGUUUAUAAAAUCGAUCAUAAGUUAAUUUACGAAAACUAUGCUCUAGCAAGGAGCAAAUAUAAGCAAACACAAUGGUGUUGGAAUAAUCUUUUUCUUUUCUUAUUCAAGUGAAGAGGGAAGAGGGAAAAGAUGUAACUAAUCAUUACCUGAAGAGAAAGUAUUACAUUGACUGAAUCAUACAUCUUCUCAGGUUCCAUUUUCUCACCAACAAUUUCAGGAGGCAUCAUGGAGAAAAGUAGGCAACACUAUGGAACACAUUAGAAUUUAGUGAAGAAAAUAGAACUUCUCAUAGCGCUUUAUUCUAAGUCUGCUUAAGCUUUAUGCAAAAGUAAUACUUACCUUGAGACUUUCUGCUGUGCAGUCAGAAACUUGCCAUCCAUGAUCUUUAUCAGAGAAAGUCCAAGCUCCUUUGAACGUAUGACGAAACAUUCUUUUGUAAUCACCGGAAGGAUUCUCAGUUAACUUUUGGAUUUGAAAGGGAUCAGAACACAUAGAACAAAACAAAGUUAAAAUAAAUUACAUGUUAUGCGUAACUUUUUUUAUGGUAAAAGGAAGAAAACAUUUUAGUUUUCAUAAAAAUGGAAACCUGGGAAUUCUUGAUGAAGUUGUGCCCUUCCUCGAGUGUAGGUCCUAUUUCAUCAAAGAGAUUGCUAGCAAUCAAACCUUGGAGUGCAAAACUUGUAUCCCAUAUUUGACUGCCAAAACUCUGCCAGUGAAUUCAACAUACUUAUAUAUUCUAUUCUUACUUCUGCGAUGAUUCUUCUAUUGGGAUACUUUCAAAAUCAAGCAUAGUUAAUACAUGUGGUUGUAUACCGACCUGCAUCUUCAUCCCGUCUUCUCCUACCCAAAUAUAAUCUUCUAUUCUAGCAAGAUGUUUCUUAAAAGCAUCCCCAUUGGGAUCUUCAACCCAGCAAGCAAGCAUACAAAGUGGCUGCACCAUAAGAAUAUGCAAGAAUUCUCAUAAAGAAAAUGAAUAUAUGGUAGACAAAAGUCCUCAGUACUAUAUCCAUAAUACAAUUACGUACCUUUUCGACGCAUCCAAUGGUAAUGUAUCUGCUGUUUUCAUCUUCAUAAUGAAUGUGAUCCAUCGUUAUUUUCAGAGCAUUUUCCCUCAACUUGUUUAAGGGCCAACGGGUGAAAAGAGGCUCGCUAAAUGUGUGAAGGGCAUCCCACACCAAUUUUUGUAUCAUAGGAUGGGGAUAGUAGUUGUCUUCCUGUAAUAACAAUUGAUUUUGGUAUAUCACACUAUUUCUUUUCUGAACAAUUAACGUUGUAAAAUCUUAAAGUUGCAUGUCAAUUCUUGAAAAGCAAAAACUGAACACCAAACUCUCACCUUUGCACAUAAAUGGCGCACGCUCUUCCAAUUGAUUUUGUGGUAAGGUUCAUUAUAGAUUUCUUCCCUUAUUUGUAAAAUGAGAGGCGUGAUUGGACCAACAAAUCUCUUCCCAUACAAGUAUGACAUAGGCAUGUAAGUGAUCCGACAGUAACAGAACAUUUUUGCUGCAGUUAUGUAAGAAGAUUAGAAGACCAAGUUCUUCCCUUACUCAAAUCAAACACUUAAAAUCUUGCAAACCCAAAGGAACAAGAAUUAAAAUGAAAAUAAAAACCUGGAUGAAAGGGAAAAAUAGUAGGAAAGGCCCAAAACUCUGGGGGCAUAGGGUUGGUUCCAUCCCAUUCAUACACACCAAGUAUCUACAGUUGAGGAAAUUUCGACAAUUUGGGACUAAAAUUAAAUAUGGUAAAAACAAUGAAAUUAUAAUAACAUGGAAAAUAAACAAAUUCAUUCUA